GCUUGGCUCAACCAUGUCCGAAAUGCUCCGCGUGCACUUCGUUCGCCUGGGUUAAUUAGAUACGACCAUUCGACAAACUGUCCUGAGAAUCGUACGUCCUGAAUCUUGCUCGAAUCACGAUAAUUUACAGUCAGCUCUGCGAUCCUUGUCUUUCGAAUCUCGAUGGUUCGCGUAUGUAUGCGUCUGUAUGUGUGUAAAACGAUCCAGUUAGUAUAGACGUGCCUACAAAGUGGAACUUGCAAGUUAAAAUUGGAAAAUGGAGGAUUUAAGUGGCAAUCGAUAGAUUGAUUGGAGGAAGAAUGUUCGAUGGAAUUUGGCUGAUUAAGAAAGAAGUUUCUUCCUACCGUUGGCCACGACGACGUGCACUCUUCUCGUAUUUAUGUUACGCCCUCCCGCAAGGAGUCAGAGUCGAGGAGGUCCGUCUUAUUUUCGCGCCUAAAGGCGAACUCGUGCCGAGUUUAUGCAGAAAUAGAAACAAUGUAAUAUAGCUAGGAAGAUUUAUGAAUACGAACUGGCGACGGGAAUGUGGCUGUAUAGAAGCAAUAAAAGCGGGAUUUUCGAAAGGAGAGUUAUGGAAAUUUCUAUUGAAUAAUGCUUCAGAUAUUUGCAUAUUCUCGUUGAAAAGUAUUCUAAUCUGUGGAAUUCGGUUUCAAU
rnacentral:misc_RNA from 1 species